CAGCCGCCGCGGUAAUACGAAGGGUGCAAGCGUUACUCGGAAUUACUGGGCGUAAAGCGUGCGUAGGUGGUGGUUUAAGUCCGUUGUGAAAGCCCUGGGCUCAACCUGGGAAUUGCAGUGGAUACUGGGUCACUAGAGUGUGGUAGAGGAUAGUGGAAUUUCCGGUGUAGCAGUGAAAUGCGUAGAGAUCGGAAGGAACAUCUGUGGCGAAGGCGCCUAUCUGGGCCAACACUGACACUGAGGCACGAAAGCGUGGGGAGCAAACAGGAUUAGAUACCCCUGUAGUCCCUGUCUCUUAUAC
rnacentral:rRNA from 1 species